UACGUAGGGGGCUAGCGUUGUCCGGAAUCAUUGGGCGUAAAGCGCGUGUAGGCGGUCCGGUAAGUCCGCUGUGAAAGUCGGGGGCUCAACCCUCGGAUGCCGGUGGAUACUGUCGGGCUUGAGUACGGAAGAGGCGAGUGGAAUUCCUGGUGUAGCGGUGAAAUGCGCAGAUAUCAAGGAGGAACACCGGUGCGAAGGCGGGACUCUGGGCCG
rnacentral:rRNA from 1 species